GUCCCUUCCGGCCACGCGUGUCCUCUGCAUCGCCGACUCUCGGCUCUGCUCCAGCACGACGACUUCUGAAACCGAGCCACGGAGAAUCAGAGCAACUGGAAGAAGUGGCUGCUAGAAGGAGGAGACUGGGAGACAGGAAGAUCGUGUACUUUGUGAUGGACUUGGAAAAUAAAAGGCACACAUGCUUUAGAGAGCACAGUUGAGUCGAGUCGUGGGCCUGAUUCCCGGGCAUCCAGACACAGACCAGCAGCCUUGAUUAAUUUAGAGCUUUGGAAAGGGGGCAGGUCCUGGGAUCCUCACAAUGAAGAAGAUACUGCAACCCUUAUUCCCUCGACAUGGUUCUCAUAGCUCUGAGGUGGGCAAAUGUAGACAUAUUGGGGGCAAGAGGCACUAGUGGAGAUAAAAAUGAUGGAGGGGCCCUUGCCAGAGACAGGCUUGUGUGCCAGGAGCUCAUCCACGAGACAUGGAGGACCAUGGAUGGGAGCACAGUUGCAGAUUUUUACCUACUAAAGUGCAACUUCCAAGUUCUUCAUAUGCCUGGCUGGAAAGCAGAGAUCUUUAUUUUUACCUGUCUGUGAUAACAACAACAGAAAAGCAGAAAAUGGGACAAAGCAUUUAGACUUAUAACUUGACAUUGCCCUAGUACCUCAGUAUGUGAUUCUGUGGAAUAUAAUAUCUUUCUACAACUGUUAUUGUUUGUGUCUGGAAUGUCCCCAAAUGCAUUAAAGACUUGUUAAAGACA